CUGACUUUAUAAACGCCCAGUUAGGAUAACCGCAUGUUUUGAGUGCUUCCUUUACAUGUGUGCGUUCCUUCUUUUUCCCUCAGGCUUAGAGGGAACAUGUUCUGGUGGUGGUCAGCGGGCCGGUGGCGCCGGUGUCCGGCAGCCUCGCCUCUGUCAGUGUGCCCCUGGGCAGCUGUGGCUACAAUGUAGCUUGCUAUUCCUCUUUGAAUAGUACUCAUGGCCGUUGAUCAGUGGUCAUGAGAAUUUGCAUUUUAAUGAUCUAGGAACUGUACUCAGGAAGUGAUGCUGGUUUAACUUCAAAUUUAACUGUAAUGUUUCUGUUUUUCUCACAUGAACUUCUGACAUCAGCAGUUGUGUAGCAGGAGUCUGGAGGAGGAUAUGUCUUCCUAAAACUUUGUUCAUUAAGUGCUCAAAUUUUCAAUACUGCGAUGGCACCAGUUAACUCAUUGUGCUGAAGGACUAAUCUAAGUUGUCUAACUCUGACUAUAUGCCAGUACAUCAGUGAUCAGAGCACCGCUUUAACUGUUCUAACCUGCAGUAACUCCACUUUAUGUUACAAUCAGAUAAUUGAGGCCAUAAAAUAAGGAAAGUGUUACAUGAGUUUCAGUGAACUCAAGUCUUACAGUAGCUUAUUUUACUGGCUAUUCAUGCAUGAACAAGUUCUUGUGCAGAUUUACAAAGAGUACAAUUAUCUAAAAUUCCAGGCACAGUAACAUUUAUUCUACAAUGUUGUGGCUUAGUUUGACUUGAUCUCGUGCCUGAAUCAACUCUGUGCUCAGUUGUUGUAAUGCUAACUUAACUGUCAGUGUUUUAUUUUGAUCUUUGUUUCCACAGGAGCAGGAACAUUAGAAGCUGCUGUAGUAACUGCUGCUGUUCUCCUGCCUGUCAUAUUCUUCUCUGUCUUCCUGUGGAUUCAGUGAGCAGAUUUGUUACAUUAUUGUUUGGGAGAUAAACUUUGAUUUUAACAGUUUAUGAAUGUCAUUAUUUUGUUCAACAUUAAUUGUCCCAACCAGAAAAAAGAGGAUGUCCAAGGAACCUGUUAAAUCUGAAGACAGAGCCAACAACUGUCAGGGUCCUGGGUCCCCUGACCCAGCAUGUUUAAUUCUUUAUGAUUUUUGUAGUAUUGUUCUUGUGAGUUGUAUCGUUUCUAGUUUCGAUCCCUUGCCCUUCGUGUUUCUCUGUGUCCCCUCUGUUCUGUGUGGUCUGUCUGCAUGUUGAGUUUCCCUCUGUGUCUUUCGGUUCUUAGAGUCCUCUGUCUUAUGGUUUAUGUCUCUGUGUUUCUUAGUUGCUGUCUCCACUGUGCCAAGUUCGUGUCUCUGUGUCAUACUUCCUGUUUUACUUUGAAGGUCCGUGUCUUAUGUGAAUGUGUCCUGCUUUGCUUCCUUGUCUCGUCAGUCCUGAUUUCUCCCAGCUGUGCUCUCCUUCUGUGUCUCAUUCCCCUCGUUACUUCCCAGUGUAUUUAAACCCUGUGUUUCUCUGAGUCAGUGUCGCGUCGUCCCUCAUGCUGUGUGUGAUUCUCCCCGUGUCUCCUGGUAUGCGUUAUGAUUAGUUUUUCCCAGUUUAGUUUUGCAUUGCUUGUGUUCUGUUCUCCAGCAAUAAAGCUGUGCUUUUGAGUUCAAGUUCUGUCCCCUUGAGUUUGCGUUUGGGUCCAAUCCCUGCCUGCCACACAGCGAAACAUGACAACAACAGAGGACAGUGUUUACCUGAUCAGAGACAGCCAGAGGAGCAGGAUGAUCUUCAGUAUACCAGCAUCCACUUCUCCAACAACCAGGCAGAUCCUCUCUACUCCAACAUCAGAGCAGCUCAGCCUCACAGACACAUGCAGGAACAGGAAGUUACUGAGUGCACUGCUGUUAGAUUUAACAGAGGCAGUGCAGCCAAGAGAGACAGAAGUCAGGAAACAGGAGAGUCUCCAUGUGCACUGUUCUCCACAGUCAACAAAACCAGAUGAAGGGACGGGUUGAUGAUGAUGUGAUAUUUAUGUAGACUUAAAAAAAAAAAAAAAAAGAUUAAGCUCAAUUGUAGUUAACUGGUUCAUAAAAUAGGUGAAAAUGCAUUAUAUUGUUAAGUUUAGUAAAAAAAAAAAAAAAAAAAAUUACUGUUGUGUAAAGCAUUUUCCUCUUUUUUUUUUAGAUAUUUGUUGUUGUGAAAUGUAACACUUUCAAUAAUAGACCAAGAUCUGAGUGUAUACAAAAUGCAGAUUUUAAAUGAAGAAUAAUUUUUUUAAGGGACAAGCAGCUAUCCAGACCUACCUGGAUGUAGGAAUCCAAUAAAGUCUUUUCACAACAGACAUGUCAAAGUGGAUCAGCUUCCUCACUUUGUUCAAUGAUUUCACUCCUCUAAAUCACACUGAUCACACUUUGCUAACUGUACCAGUUUCCAUGGACUGCAGUAGCUGCUUCAAAUAAACAGCCAGAUUCCUCGACCGCUCUCUAGUUACAGCCGUCGUGGUCUGCUGUGUGGCAGGUAGAGUGUGGACUCAGAUGCAGGACACAGAAGGCAGAAAUAAACUCAUAAAGUUCACUAAAUGUUUACAAACGUCAAGAAGUCACAAGCAAAGAGAGACCACACCAUGACACAUGUUUAAACAAG